GCCAAGGCUGAACAGCUUGGCACUUCGGGCGCCGGCGGGUGUCCGGCGCUCUCAUAUCCAUGUUGCUCACUGGAGGAUGUGGCUAUGAGAU
rnacentral:sRNA from 1 species